rnacentral:rRNA from 1 species
GAUGAACGCUGGCGGCGUGCCUAAUACAUGCAAGUCGAGCGAACAGACGAGAAGCUUGCUUCUCUGAUGUUAGCGGCGGACGGGUGAGUAACACGUGGAUAACCUACCUAUAAGACUGGGAUAACUUCGGGAAACCGGAGCUAAUACCGGAUAAUAUUUUGAACCGCAUGGUUCAAAAGUGAAAGACGGUCUUGCUGUCACUUAUAGAUGGAUCCGCGCUGCAUUAGCUAGUUGGUAAGGUAACGGCUUACCAAGGCAACGAUGCAUAGCCGACCUGAGAGGGUGAUCGGCCACACUGGAACUGAGACACGGUCCAGACUCCUACGGGAGGCAGCAGUAGGGAAUCUUCCGCAAUGGGCGAAAGCCUGACGGAGCAACGCCGCGUGAGUGAUGAAGGUCUUCGGAUCGUAAAACUCUGUUAUUAGGGAAGAACAUAUGUGUAAGUAACUGUGCACAUCUUGACGGUACCUAAUCAGAAAGCCACGGCUAACUACGUGCCAGCAGCCGCGGUAAUACGUAGGUGGCAAGCGUUAUCCGGAAUUAUUGGGCGUAAAGCGCGCGUAGGCGGUUUUUUAAGUCUGAUGUGAAAGCCCACGGCUCAACCGUGGAGGGUCAUUGGAAACUGGAAAACUUGAGUGCAGAAGAGGAAAGUGGAAUUCCAUGUGUAGCGGUGAAAUGCGCAGAGAUAUGGAGGAACACCAGUGGCGAAGGCGACUUUCUGGUCUGUAACUGACGCUGAUGUGCGAAAGCGUGGGGAUCAAACAGGAUUAGAUACCCUGGUAGUCCACGCCGUAAACGAUGAGUGCUAAGUGUUAGGGGGUUUCCGCCCCUUAGUGCUGCAGCUAACGCAUUAAGCACUCCGCCUGGGGAGUACGACCGCAAGGUUGAAACUCAAAGGGAUUGACGGGGACCCGCACAAGCGGUGGAGCAUGUGGUUUAAUUCGAAGCAACGCGAAGAACCUUACCAAAUCCUGACAUCCUUUGACAACUCUAGAGAUAGAGCUUUCCCCUUCGGGGGACAAAGUGACAGGUGGUGCAUGGUUGUCGUCAGCUCGUGUCGUGAGAUGUUGGGUUAAGUCCCGCAACGAGCGCAACCCUUAAGCUUAGUUGCCAUCAUUAAGUUGGGCACUCUAAGUUGACUGCCGGUGACAAACCGGAGGAAGGUGGGGAUGACGUCAAAUCAUCAUGCCCCUUAUGAUUUGGGCUACACACGUGCUACAAUGGACAAUACAAAGGGCAGCGAAACCGUGAGGUCAAGCAAAUCCCAUAAAGUUGUUCUCAGUUCGGAUUGUAGUCUGCAACUCGACUACAUGAAGCUGGAAUCGCUAGUAAUCGUAGAUCAGCAUGCUACGGUGAAUACGUUCCCGGGUCU